rnacentral:RNase_P_RNA from 1 species
AGUUGAUCAUACGGUCGCGUGGCGCUUCGCGCCAUGAGGAAAGUCCGAGCACCGCAGAGCAGGACGCCGGAUAACGUCCGGUGGAGGCGACUCCAAGGAUAGUGCAACAGAAACAGACCGCAGAGCAAUCUGCAAGGAUGGAAAGGGGAGGUAAGAGCUCACCGACGCCGCGGCAACGCGGCGUGCCGUGUAAACCCCGUCCGGUGCAAGAUUGGGCGCAUGUCGCAUAGGGUUGCUCGCCCGAUGUGCGCCGUGAAUAUCGCUCGAACGCAUCGGCGACGAUGCGUCCAGAUAGAUGACCGUACACGACAGAACUCGGCUUACAGGUCAA